AUUGAACGCUGGCGGCAUGCUUUACACAUGCAAGUCGAACGGCAGCGCGGGCUUCGGCCUGGCGGCGAGUGGCGAACGGGUGAGUAAUACAUCGGAACGUGCCCAGUAGUGGGGGAUAGCUCGGCGAAAGCCGGAUUAAUACCGCAUACGACCUGAGGGUGAAAGCGGGGGAUCUUCGGACCUCGCGCUAUUGGAGCGGCCGAUGGCAGAUUAGCUAGUUGGUGGGGUAAAGGCCUACCAAGGCGACGAUCUGUAGCUGGUCUGAGAGGGCGACCAGCCACACUGGGACUGAGACACGGCCCAGACUCCUACGGGAGGCAGCAGUGGGGAAUUUUGGACAAUGGGCGAAAGCCUGAUCCAGCAAUGCCGCGUGUGUGAUGAAGGCCUUCGGGUUGUAAAGCACUUUUGGCGGGAACGAAAAGGACUGUGCCAAUACCACGGUUCGAUGACGGUACCCGCAGAAUAAGCACCGGCUAACUACGUG
rnacentral:rRNA from 1 species